UACGGAGGGUGCAAGCGUUAUCCGGAUUUACUGGGUUUAAAGGGUGCGUAGGUGGGUAAGUAAGUCAGUGGUGAAAUCUUCGAGCUUAACUCGGAAACUGCCAUUGAUACUAUUUAUCUUGAAUGCUUUGGAGGUAAGCGGAAUAUGUCAUGUAGCGGUGAAAUGCUUAGAUAUGACAUAGAACACCAAUUGCGAAGGCAGCUUACUACACAGUUAUUGACACUGAGGCACGAAAGCGUGGGGAUCAAACCGG
rnacentral:rRNA from 1 species